GACGAACGCUGGCGGCGUGCUUAACACAUGCAAGUCGAACGGAAAGGCCCUGCUUUUGUGGGGUGCUCGAGUGGCGAACGGGUGAGUAACACGUGAGUAACCUGCCCUUGACUUUGGGAUAACUUCAGGAAACUGGGGCUAAUACCGGAUAGGAGCUCCUGCUGCAUGGUGGGGGUUGGAAAGUUUCGGCGGUUGGGGAUGGACUCGCGGCUUAUCAGCUUGUUGGUGGGGUAGUGGCUUACCAAGGCUUUGACGGGUAGCCGGCCUGAGAGGGUGACCGGCCACAUUGGGACUGAGAUACGGCCCAGACCCCUACGGGAGGCAGCAGUGGGGAAUAUUGCACAAUGGGCGGAAGCCUGAUGCAGCAACGCCGCGUGCGGGAUGGCGGCCUUCGGGUUGUAAACCGCUUUCGCCUGUGACGAAGCGUGAGUGACGGUAAUGGGUAAAGAAGCACCGGCUAACUACGUG
rnacentral:rRNA from 1 species